GACGAACGCUGGCGGCGUGCUUAACACAUGCAAGUCGAACGGAAAGGCCCUGCUUUUGUGGGGUGCUCGAGUGGCGAACGGGUGAGUAACACGUGAGUAACCUGCCCUUGACUUUGGGAUAACUUCAGGAAACUGGGGCUAAUACCGGAUAGGAGCUCCUGCUGCAUGGUGGGGGUUGGAAAGUUUCGGCGGUUGGGGAUGGACUCGCGCCUUAUCAGCUUGUUGGUGGGGUAGUGGCUUACCAAGGCUUUGACGGGUAGCCGGCCUGAGAGGGUGACCGGCCCCAUUGGGACUGAGAUACGGCCCAGACUCCUACGGGAGGCAGCAGUGGGGAAUAUUGCACAAUGGGCGGAAGCCUGACGCAGCAACGCCGCGUGCGGGAUGACGGCCUUCGGGUUGUAAACCGCUUUCGCCUGUGACGAAGCGUGAGUGACGGUAAUGGGUAAAGAAGCACCGGCUAACUACGUG
rnacentral:rRNA from 1 species